ensembl:snRNA U7 U7 small nuclear RNA
AAGUGUCAGAGCACUUUUAGAAUUGGUCUAGGAGGUUUUCUGGUUUUCACUAGAAGAUCCUC